AGGCUCUGAAAAUGAGGUCUCUGACAGUGAGAAGAAUGUCAGGGGACUCCUACUCCACACCCUUCUGCCCCUUAGACAGCUGGCCCCUUGACUAUUCAUGGAGAGUAGCCUUUGGGAAGGAAAAAAAACAUUAAAAACUAGUUCAUUUUCUACAAGUUAUCGUAGCCACAAUAAAUACAUGAGAGAGAAGAUGGCCUUUUCCAUGUGAAAUACCUCUUCCCUUUGCCCAGUUCAUAAGAGAGAGUAAGAACUAUGUUUAGAGACUGAUAGAGUUUCCCGUGGUUACUAUCAAGAGAUCAGACUCAUAUUAACGUUCGCUCAAAAGGGGAACAGGGAAGAACAUUUGAAAAAGAAACAUUAAAUUAAAUAUUAUUCUCUCAUUCAUUCCUCUUUCUGUAGGGAUGUUCUUGGAGUGUCCAUGUUCAGCCUUAACAGUCUUCAUUGAAGCAAAAAAUACCCUUGCUACUCUCAUGUCACAGUUGUUUUUCAUUUCCCCCUUUUGGAAUACAUGAGGCAAACGACGUGGCAGACUCUCUCACGUCCAGCUCACUGUCCCAGCACAGUGAGGAUCCCUCAGAGAGGAGGUCUUUUGCUUCCUUUUAUGUGCAACUGUCCCCCACCACAUCCUUCAUAAGAAUCCUAGGUUAUCCCAUGGUCAAUCCCCUUUUCCCAUCUCAAUUCGAGAAAAUGGAUAAUACUAUCAAACAUAAACAUUGAAGAGCCGGAGCCCAACUAGACCAGACAUUUAGUUCAGUGAAAUUUUCCAGUACAAUACCAAGCAAAAAUAUAUACCUUAAACCAACAAAAAAACAACAGAAAUCUCAUAGAUAAUAAGGUAAUGUUUUCUGUUCCACAUCCUACCAGGUCAUUCUAACAGCACACAUUUAUAUGAACUUAUUUUAUCCUAAUUACUGGAAACGUUGGAGUCAGGGGAAGACCUGAGGUGACUGAUACUUAUUUUCAGAUUGGUCCAGUACUAUUUGAUACUUUGGGGGAAUAAUGGGUGUUUUCUAGGACCUAGUGAUAAGGAAAUUCAACUCUUGCUUACUUUAAAGAACUUGGAUAUAGGAGUUCCUAUUGCGGCUCAGUGGGUUAAGAAUCUCAUAUAGUGUCCUUGAAGAUGUGGGUUGGAUCCCUGGCCUUGUCCAGUGGGUUAAGGAUCUGGCGUUGCUGUGAGCUGUGGUGUAGGUGACAGAUGCUGCUCGGAUCCUGUGUUACUGUGGCUGUGGCGUAGGCUGGCAGCUGUAGCUCCCAUUCGACUCCUAGCCCUGGAAUCUCCAUAUGCCUCUGAUGUGGCCCUGAAAAAGCAAAAUAAAAUAAACAAUAAAUUAAAAGUUGGAUAUAGAUUCUGUAUUAAGAGGAUUUGUCUGUCUUCGUUCUAACAACCAAGUUAUUGAAACUGAGCUUUCCAUUAAAAAUAAGUCUUGAAGAGCAGGGGCAGUGUGGUGGCAGCUGCAUAAUCCCUCUGUUCCUGAGUGGAGGCAGUGGCCUAGCAUUUCAUAUUGCUUGAGUUAAAGAUCAGCUUUGCAAAGAGAGCACAUAUUAGUCUUAGUUCGCAGAAUGGAUGAGAUUAGAUUUGAGGUUUUGAAGUCUUCCCUCUCCAAUGAGUACGAAUAGAUACUUGUGAAAUCCUCAUUUGGAGGAAGCCUGUUUUGCAGGCAGUUAAGAUGUGUAACCUUUUUUUAAGGUGAAAAUAUACAUUAUGUUUAGCACUGUACUUCAUGCCUCAGGGAAGCUUAUCUAAGGCAUAUAGACAUAUUUGGUCCAUAAAGCACAUCACAGCCUUCUUGCACUAAGGAAUAGAAGACAGCACUUCAGCACACUUGGGGCCCAUUCUAAAUAGUGAACACACACACAAACACAAAGAGCAAAAAUUGUGGCACUAUGUAGCCUGCAAAAAGGUCACUUUUUAAAAGUAUGAGCUGAGGAGUUCCCGUUGUGGCGCAGUGGAAACAAAUCUGACUAGGAACCAGCAGGUUGCGGGUUCAAUCCCUGGCCCCAGUGGGUUAAAGAUCCUGUGCUGCCGUGAGCUGUGAUGUAGGUCUCAGACCCGUCUCGGAUCUGACGUUGCUGUGGCUCUGGUGUAGGCCUGCAGCUCUGCUGGCCUACGCCACAGCCACAGCAAUGCAGGAUCCUUGCCCCACUGAGCGAGGCCCAGAAUGGAACCCACGUCCUCGUGGAUGCUAGUUGGGUUCGCUUCUGCUGUGCCACAACAGGAGCUCCGAUCCCAUCUAGUUCUGCCUGGUUUGAGGGCGUCCUUUCCUAUUCCUGAGGUUGCUGCUAAAUCCUGUGUCUCUCUCUGGGUGUGAAUUUUGCAAAAACUUUCAAAUCAGUAGUCAAAUGUUUUAUCCACUUACAGUCCCACCCCUGGUUUUGAAGAUGAGCGAUUCUUGCUUUGCUCAAACCAGGUCUUAGCUCUGACAUGACGAAGAGGUGGCAACUUUGCAAAUCCAGGCUAUGUCAGUUACUGAGCCUGGAUUUGUUACUUCCAGAGAAUGGCUUUUUCUGGAUUGCUGAACUGGAUUCCAAUAAUCUAGACGUUUCUGAGGGAAGCCCUGGAGUGGUUCCCACAUGCAGUGGGAGGAGGGCUGUGGCAGGUUGUCCUUCUAGAUCAAAGCCUCAUAUUCCAAUUGGGAGAGAUGCUGCCCUGGGUGGCUUCUGAAUAGAAGGUCAGGAGCCUGCCUGCUGUCUGUGUUUCAUCUCUGAUGCCCCCUCACCUGAAGUGGACUAGAGCCAGCCAGCACCCAGGUCUUGAGCUCAGGGUGCCCCCGUGCCCCCGUAAAACAAGUGUGUGCUGGCUUUGCUUUGUGAUGCCUGCAGAUGGCAAAGCCAUGAUUUGUGCCUUUUGUCCUGUGGAGGCGUGGUCUUGGCAGCCCCAGGGAGGGGUCAGGAUGUUUUAAAGCAUGGUGACGCCUUAGGCUGGGUGUGAAAACCAGAGGAGAAGCAUGAACCACUUUGAGAAGGGCCAUCGACACUGUGGAAAAGCAUAUUCAAGGGAUUUCCCCUAGUGGCUCAGUGGAAACGAAUCCGACUAUAACCACGAGGUUGCGGGUUCUAUCCCUGGCCUCACCCAGUGGGUUAAGGAUCCGCCAUUGCCCUGAGCUGGGGUAUAGGUUGCAGAUGCGGCUCGGAUCCUGUGUGGCUGUGGUGUAGGCUGGCAGCUGUAGCUCCAAUUCGACCUCUAGCCUGGGAACUUCCACAUGCAUGCAGCCCUAUAAAGCAAAAAGC
rnacentral:lncRNA from 1 species